UUGAACUUUACCACCAAAACAACUUUUAUUCACAGCAAAAGCAUAAUAUAUUCUUUUACAUUUGGUAAUUUUGGUCAAUUUUGUUCUCUUGAACCCUAUAAUUGUGGUUAUAUUUAAAAAAAAUUUAAUUGCAUGUAUUGUUUUGCAAGUAACUUUGUUGUUGUUGAAUUCUGACCCUUUAAGAGGUGCUUGUUGGGUUCUGGUGUGUCCCGCACCUCAUGAAGGUAAUUUAAUUGUCGUGGCGUCCGCAGGGCCGCGUGUGGAUCUCUCUGUGGGUGUGGAGGUGUGGAGGGGCACAGGCGGUCUGAUGGUAUCGAGCUUUGGCUGAGAUCAGCUCGCUGGCAUCAUCAUCCAGCUCCUCCUGCGAACCUGCGGCGCUGCUGCAUGAAGGAACCAGAUACUGAAGGAAGGACAAACAGUCAAGGACCUCAGAUAAGACAUUUGCUCUCCCCUGUGUCUCACAGUAAGAGUGUUGGCACGCUGCUGCUGUUUUGGCUUUAAUCUCGGCUGAUUUCAGGUUGAUCACACUCUCUCACAUCCUCUCUGAUCUCUGCGAGCCGUCACAUGGGCAGAUGGUCACCUGGACCUUUUGCUGACCUCAACACCUGUAGCAUCGCCUCACCUGUGCAAUUUGUUGUGAGAAUUGUUUUCCUUCCUAGAACUCCAGAGAACAAGCAUCUACAGGUUACGGUUCCCGUCAUCAUUAGCAGGCCUGUGUCAGCCAGCGGCCCAGAGGGAGUUCAGAGAGGACCUGAGUUGUGAGAUGAGGUGAAAGCCGCCCAUAUUCCCACAGUGACGGAGCGGCAAUUACCCCAAACUGUGACUGCGUCCUCCUACCGGCCACAGGAACAAUGGACUGUCUGUCAGCGGCGGUGUUGCCCAAGCAUAACAGAUGUGUGUGGACACACUAGACAAUGGCGUGGCUGGAUAAGUGGGUUCCUGAUCUCAGAGGCGGGGGGGAGGACGGCAGCUUGUGUCCGAGACGCUCGUGUGGGGCGAGGGAGAACUCCACAGGACCAGCACAGAGCCGGAUCCGCCGCUGUUCUUUUAUGAGACUAUCACAGAUACCCUGAGUGCUUUUUUCUUCUGGUUUGAUGGAAUUGUCUUCCUCUAGCGAGACCUUCAGCACAGCUGAGCGCAGAACUUUCCAGACUCUGGGAGAAAGUUGGAGGAGUUUGAGGAUGAGGUGGUGGUCAUCUGAGGUCACUCUGAAGGUCACUGAAGGCAGGAGGACUCAUAUUCGAAAGCCUUUUGUCUGUGUAUUUUUCCAAAAUGGAAUUGCAAAAAAUAAUGACUGUCUUCAUACAGGUUUCCCAAUGGUCAACAAACAGAUAACCCCACCCCAAUCUCACAUUAUUGGUUGAGAUCCCCACCCCACCCCCUAUCCUCCACAGUCCCGGCACUCCUCCCAAGAAAGACCGAGGGAUGAGGGCGGACAGACAGAGGGAGAGAAACCGGCCGUAUUGUUUAAUACACUGGAGGUGGAGAUCUGGAGUGGAUUUUGAGAAAGCGAGAUAUUGGCUCCAUCUGUUUACGAGCUUGAUGACUCUGAAACUCAUCAGAGACUGAGACACUCCUUCACCUCAUUAAAAUACAGUUGACUGUAAAUCUCUGAACCACGAGAGAAAAAUGAGACAAACGCUCAAUUGGAGAUAUUGAUGGGAUACACUUGCUCCCAAAGUCUGGAAUCAAAACUUGACUAUUUUAAUAUGAACUCAAACAUUUCUCAUUAAGUUCUCUCAAAUCCAGAUGAUUGUAUACAAAUUGUAUAGCUUUGUAUCUUGGCUUAUUACUGCAUGUCAACAAUUGUCUUUUCGUUUCUUCUAAAUAAUUUUUGUAGAAACUUUGAGGCAAAUUUGAUACUCAUGAACAAUAUAAAAUAACAUUUAACUCUUUGCUCACCAGAGUUAUUUAUUUUUUUUAAAUUUGCCAGCUACCACCAUAAUGGCGUCUGUGGCGGGGAAGCGUUGUCUCCAUAAAUGGCGUAACAUUCGGUAAAUGGCGGGGAAGUGUUGUCUCAUAAAUGACGGAAAAUUCCAUCAACGGCAGUAAAGCAUUGUCUCGUAAAUGUCGGCAAAUUCCGUCAAUGGCGGGGAAGCGGCGUCUUGCAAGUGAUGGAAAAUUCUGUCAAUUUGCAGGGAAGCGUCUCGUAAAUGACGGAAAAUUCCAUCAAUGGCAGGGAAGCAUUGUCUCAUAAAUGAUGGAACAUUCUGUCAAUGCCGGGGAAAUAGUCAAUAGCACUUUUAUUUACCCCAACCAAAAUAAGUUAUGAUGUGCACAGAAGCGUUUGUAAUGUAUUUUUGUGUUGUAUUGUGAAUGCACUUAAAGGCCAUCUGCAUCCAUGUGUGUAAGUGGUGUGAACACCACACUCAGUGCUGUAAUGUUCCAGGAGCUCUUCUGGGGUCCUUUGGAGAUCUCCGUCUAAAGCUUAAUGUGAGAGCGACAACCCCUGUCUCAGCAAACACGCAGCGCUUUUACUGGUUAACCCACCCUUUCCCCCGUGGCCUCAGGAGACCCCGUCAAAGCCCGCGGAGAGACGUGAGUCAACCUCGCCUCUGUCCUUUCAAGCUCGUUACAACUUGUGUUUAAUGCAACGCUGCUCUUAGAACCGUUCGUCUAAUUGUUCACCAUUGUGUUUAACCCAUCUGAGCCUCUGACAGCACUCAACAAUUGGAAACGCAGUCGCAGGGUAGCAGUUGUCAGCGCGAGCGUGCUAAUUUGAAUAUGCAGCGAACGGGGGGCUUUCAGAGCGAGACAGAGAGGGAGGCCAUAUUGAGAGCCGCCAUCUGUGUCCGUGUCGCUCCGUGCGGCCAAAGCAGGGAGAUCCCAUAUGUCACACGAAGCCCCGCUGGGUAUAGCUCUCUUGUUGCUGUUUGUUGUUGUUAUUUAUUUACGAAAGGUCCUAAGAAUGAAAAAAUCGAGCUGGGUUUGCGGUGCCAGGGCCGAAGGGCCGAUAAUCUGGCAUCGUUAGGACCAUCUAACGAGCAGACUCCAUGUCAGUUGGCUUGUGUGUGUGUGUGUGUCUGCAAGAUGGUAUGCGCACAUCUGCUGAAUCACUGUGGUCCAUUGGGCGUUGGGCCGACGUGGGACCAUGUGGUGCGGUGGCAGAGACGGUCCCCAGAGCUUUCAGCGACAGGCCUGGUCUACUGACAUCACAGACACACCUCUACAUGAACUGACAUCAUGGCUAGGCACUCAACUAGAAAUAAAGGUAACAUGUUAGCCUCAGGGCGACUUCACACUAGAGAUUUUGAAGUCAGAGUUCAGUUUGUUUGGUUGGUGUGCAAGCUGUUUUACAAACUCAAAUGCACAUCACCUUUUUAGUCUUGUCUAUCACGUUUCCAUAGGACUUGACAUAAACACCCGCCAACCUAACAAAUGCGGGUGGAUUUCAGCAGUGGCGUGUAAUGCGGUCACUCCUAUUAGCCAAUUUGGCGGGUUGAAUUUUAUGUAAUAUGGGCUAUACAUUUUUCAAUUGGAGUCUUUUAAAAAGGCAUCUGAAAUAAUAUAGUGUUGUCAAAAAUAUUUAUUUUUUAUACAUAUAGAUGCAGAAUAGAUACACGAUACCAGCUGUGCUUUCUCGCUCUCUCAUCUAUCCGACAGCGAGUUGACACACAAACCCGCCUCCCCUCACUCACUCGUUUCAUUUGUUCCGGAUUAAUGUUGUUGGUUUUACAGGACUUGAAUUUCGGUGUGGGAUUGCGCGUAUUGUGCAUAAUUUGACUCAUUUCCGCAGAUUUUGUGUUUACACCCAAAGUGUGUGCAUUGUGCGUUUUUUUCAUUGUUUAUACUGUAUAUUUGGCGUAAACAGUGAAAUACACAAAAAAAAACGCAAAAUGCCAGUUUUGGCAAUUAUUCACGUAAACAGAGUCAGUUAUGACCGUGCGUCAGGUCUUAAAGUGACAGCAGCCUAAUAUACCUGAUGCCAAAUUAUGAGUUAAUAUUAAAAAUAUCUAUAUGUCAGUUUUUCCCUAUGGUAUCGAUGUCAAAAUUGUGGCCAGUGAAAAUGAUGAGUGACAAAAAAUAAGUUCAUGUCAAGAACUUGAGGCAACCAUAGAGAAACUAGACCUACAAGUAACUUUAUUAAUAAAUGAAAUACAAUUAAGGGAUUGUUCACCCAAAAAUAAAAAUUCUGACAUCAUUUAUUCACAGCCAAGCUGUUCCAAAACUGCUUUGACUUUGACCAGAAGAAGAUGUCUGUCACUAUGAUCUUUUUAGAGCUGCUUUACAGCAGAAUAUUUUGCAGUUUGCAUCAUUCAUCAUUUCCGUUUAUUACUGUGAAGCUCCUUUUGAAACAAUCUGUAUUAUAUAAAUUGACUUGACUCCUGUCCCGCAGAGUUCAGCUCCAACCCUAAUUAAACUCACCUGAACCAACUAAUCAAGGUCUUCACUCUUUAUGCAUACUAGAAACUUCCAGGCAGGUGUAUUGGGGCAAGUCAGAGCUAAGAUCUGUAGGACAUUGGCCCUCCAGGAGCAGGUUUGGAUAUCCCUGACACCCAAAAUCAAAAUUCUUUAUUUAAGUUGUACUCUUUGUUUUACAGGUUUAAACAAUACCAAAAUCUUUCCAAGUACCCCCUGGAACCUGCCAAAGUACCUCCUGGUUAGCAAUCAGUUGACAAAGGUAUGAUUAAUGUGGACUCUUGAAUUGUUAUGCAAGCAAUUUUUGCUUUUGAUGAUACUGUUUUUGGGCAGUGCAUUUGUUGAAUCUAUUUCAGUAAAACCACGACAGAUGCAAGUUCUGUUCUGUGCAUGUUUUGAUAGUUAAAGCAAAGAGACAAAACCACGGGAUGCCGUUGUCUUCCCCUUCUGAGUUGUUUCCUAGCUACAGUGGUAAACAGCUGCUGCUGGUACUCAACAGUGGCACUCAUGCUGAUGACAUAAGGGUACCUUGAUGGCCAAAUAAUAUAGUGAGCAAAACACCUGUGGUGACCAAAAAAGGUGGAAUUGGACUCGAGAUUCAGACCAAGCAUCUCUAGAAUAACCACUUCAUUCCCCUCGAAUUCAGCUCCUAAUGCACCUCUGAAAACAAGCUCUACAUUGUAGAGUCAGCGUUCUGGUAAAUGGACUCAGCCCUUACUGUAAGAGAAUGCCCCAUAGGCUCAAUUAACCAGCCAGCACAGCGCUCUCUUCUCCCUGUGUUAAUUAGAUGGCUGCAGUGCCUGCCAGCACAGCUCUGAGACGUCGCUGUGCGCUGCGCAAGAACUGCCGUCAGGGCCGCGGGACACUCCCCACCCACAGCUGCCCACUGAUGUCAUCUCUAAAGCAGUUAUGUUAACUAACUCCCAACUCCAGCAGAAUUCCGGAUGCGCCCCAUUUCAAGCGUCCUCAGGUGCAUGGUGUUGCGCUCUUGAAUCGGGCUCUUUCAGCGAUUUGUCGCGGUUCUGUUGGGCCCUGCUGCGACGGCACGUGCCAGCUCACCACCGCGGCGCUGCUCCCUGUGUGCCAGACGGCCUCUCGUCGUCCUGACAGCCCACCACUGCUGUCACCCGCCCUGCGCCCGGGCACCGGCUCCCAGCCCUGGCAACGCAACCACAACCCCGACCCAGAAUAGAUGCAGGCACAGGGGCCAGACAGAAACCCCCACAGGACGCGCACACACACACGCACACACACACUGUACCCUGCAGCUCUGCAGACUGUUCAUUUGCUCGAGUCGGGAUGAGACAAGGUCAGAUUCGGACACAACUUGCAUAGUUUCAUAAUUAAAGGUGAAAAUUCUGACUCUAAAUUCUGAUUGGACGAGACACUCUCAAAGCCACGACAAAAUAUCGAUAUACAAACACUAAUUCUGUCGGCCUGUUAAUGCAUGCAUGAAUUGGGAACAAUGCACAGUGGUUCAUUGUGAUUAUUAUUAACAUAAAUGAGUACUGAACUCUUUGUUGCUGGUGAAGAGGAGGGGGUGACGGACGUGCAGCUUGUGCUCGUAGCGGUCUGGCCCGAUCAGCAGUCUGACAGUGACGGGAGGAGGUGGGAGAGCCAGGUUCAUUUGCAUAAUUAUGGUCGUGCUUCCUGAAACACAGUCCCGCCCACCGUCGACCUUUCAUCAACCCGAAUACUGAACAGCUCAGAAACACACAGCAGCCAGAUAAGAGCUGCCACGCACCAGACCGCACGCCUCCGUCCGCCCGCUCAACGAGUGUUUACUUCUGAGGAAAGACAGCAGGCGGAGAGAGGGAGGACAAACAGACGAGUGUGACCUGCAGCAGGCAGCAUGCACCAGCUCCCUGGAUCCGGCCUCAGAUGAUGGAUACCAGCUGAAAUGUGUCCAGUUAAAUCAUUAGGACACACACUACAGGCCAGUCAUUCAGAGAGGCAAGUAAAGUCAACAUCCAGCCCUCUCAAUGAUGCUGAACUAAUGCUGAUUGAUCACUGCUGGUCUGUGUGUGCGUGAUCGGUUUCAGCUGUAAAUCAUAUCAGCUUGUUGUUUGCUGUAUCUUCAGAUGCCUUUACCUUGUUUUGUUCUGGUUCGUAAAUGUCGGCCUCAGUGUGUGUGUGCGCGUGUGUGUGUGUGAAAAGGCUUUAUCUGCUGUUAUCUUCGCCGGCCCGCUUUGCAGCUGCUCUCCACCUGUCACUCACACAGGGAGUGGUGCUCGUGCUCUGGGCUGAGCGCGUGUACAUGCGCGUCUGUGAGUUACGGGGUCAUAGAGGGUUGCGUUCUGUAAUAAAAUACACUGAUGGAAUGUAUGCAAAAAUUAAUUAAUACUGAAGAUGUGUAUUGCAUGUGAAAUUUCAAGCAGUGACGUGAUAUACUUAAUCUAAAGCUAUUUUACCUGUAU